GGCUGCGUAGCAAAAUGGUUAUGCAGUGGCCUGCAAAGCCAUCUACGCCAGUUCGAUUCUGGCCGCAGCCUCCA
rnacentral:tRNA from 1 species